GGAGAGAUACAUUAAAUCGGCUAAGACGCAGAGAACUUGACUGGCAGUCAAGAGGUCGUGGGUUCAAAUCCCAUCGUCCGCUCUACCA
rnacentral:tRNA from 1 species